CCCAACAGACCGAUCCUCUGCCUCUCCCUUUCCACGGCAACACCCAACAGCCCGAUACCGAUCCGACCCAACAGACCCAAAUCCAAUUCGCUCAAUUUCCACUCUUCCCCAGCCCAUCGCUCAAUGCAACCGACCCAGCCCGUCGAGACCGGCCCAAAGGUUUUUUUAUCAGAACCACAUGCACACAGAGAUAUAGUUUGGAAGGCACAAAGAGAGAGGCCGCAUACCCAUUACCCCAUAAUCGGUAAA